rnacentral:rRNA from 1 species
CAAUAGCGUAUAUUAAUGUUGUUGCAGUUAAAAAGCUCGUAGUUGGAUUUCUGGUGGGAGUGGCCGGUCCGCCGUAAGGUGUGUACUUGGUUGUCUCCCGUCAUCCUUGUGGGAACUGCUCUGGCAUUAAGUUGUCGGGGUUAGGGAACACAUCGUUUACUGUGAAAAAUUAGAGUGUUUAAAGCAGGCUUAUGCCGUUGAAUACAUUAGCAUGGAAUAAUAAGAUAGGACUUUGGCGUCUAUUUUGUUGGUUUGCACACCAAGGUAAUGAUUAAUAGGGAUAGUUGGGGGUGCUAGUAUUCGGCGGCCAGAGGUGAAAUUCUUUGAUCCGCUGAAGACUAACUUAUGCGAAAGCAUUCACCAAGGAUGUCUUCUUUAAUCAAGAACGAAAGUUGGGGGAUCGAAGAUGAUUAGAUACCGU